rnacentral:rRNA from 1 species
UACAGAGGUGGCAAGCGUUGUUCGGAAUUAUUGGGCGUAAAGAGCUUGUAGGCGGUUUGUCGGGUCUGCUGUGAAAUUUCGGGGCUCAACCCCGAACUUGCAGUGGGUACGGGCAGACUAGAGUGUGGUAGGGGAGACUGGAAUUCCUGGUGUAGCGGUGAAAUGCGCAGAUAUCAGGAGGAACACCGGUGGCGAAGGCGGCUUGCUGGGCCUUACCUGACUCUGAGGAGCGAAAGCGUGGGGAGCGAACAGG